rnacentral:lncRNA from 1 species
CCUGUGCUAUACAGCAGGAUCUUAUCGCUUAUCCACUCCAAAUUCAAUAGUUUGCAUCUACUAACCACAAACUCCCAGUCUAUCCCACUCUCUUCCCUCUCCCCCUUGGCAACCACAAGUCUGUUCUCCAAGUCAGUUGGUUUCUUUUCUGUAGAUGGGUUCAUUUUGGUCUGUAUAUUAGAUUCUAGAUAUGUGAUAUCAUAUGGUAUUUGUCUUUCUGACUUACUUCACUAAGUAUGAGAGUCUCUAGUUCCAUCCAUGUUGCUGCAAAUGGCAUUAUUUUAUUCUUUUUAUGGCUGAGCAGUAUUCCAUUGUACAUAUGUACCACAUCUUUUUUUUUUUUUUAAGGGCCACACCUGUGGCAUAUGGAGGUUCCCAGGCUAGGGGUCAAAUUGGAGCUGUAGCCACUGGCCUACACCACAGCUCACAGCAACGCCAGAUCUUUAACCAACUGAGCAAGGCCAGGGAUCGAACCUGCAACCUCAUGGUUCCUAGUCAGAUUCGUUUCUGCUGUGCCAAGUGUCUGUUCAGGUCUUUUGCACAUUUUUCAAUUGGGUUGUUUGUUUUUUGCUGUCGAGUUGUAUGGGUUGUUUGUAUAUUUUGGAGAUUAAGCCCUAGUUGGUUGCAUCAUUUGUGACUAUUUUCUCCCAUUCUGUAGGUUGGUUUUUUUUUUUUUUAAUGGUUUCCUUUUUUGUGCAAAAGCUUAUAAGUUUGAUUAGGUUCCAUCAGUUUAUUUGUUUUUAUUUCUAUUGCUUCGUGAGACUGACCUAAGAAAACAUUUAUAUGGUUUAUGUCAGAGAAUGUUGUGCCUAUGUUUUUUCUAGGAGUUUUAUGGUGUCUUGUCUUACAUUUAAGUCUUUAAGCUGUUUUGAGUUUAUUUUUGUGCAUGGUGUGAGACUGUGUUCUAGUUUCAUUGAUUUACAUGCAACUGUCCAGUGUUCCCAGUACCACUUGCUGAAGAGACUGUCUUUCCCCAUUUUAUAUUUUUGCCUCCUUUGCCGAAGAUUAAUUGACCAUAGGUGUCUGGGUCAGACAUCUUUAAAGUGCUUGUGUUGUGACUGGCACCACACUGGCCACUGGGAAUUUAGAGAGGUGUCUAGGGUAGCAUCUGACAUUUUAAAGACCCAGGGCAAGAGUAAAAAUGAAAGCUUAUAUUCAUGUCUAAAUAUUUAAAUGUUACAAGUCAAAACAACAAACUGCUAAAUAAAACACUCCAUCCUAGUCACUGGAGAACUGAGUUUGAUUUUGAAUUUCUAACUUCUCUGAGUUUUGUGCUGGAACUCAGCAACACAGAGCAAGUGUCCCCCUCCUCUCCCUCCCCAUCCUGGCUACAUCCUGUACCUUGAGGGGCCUUGCAUGCAUAUGUGACUCCUCACAGGUAUUCAGAAUCCAUGUUGCACCUCACCUGUUGGCUACUCUUUGAGCCUAGGAGUGCCCACAAAGUAUAGUUGAUUUAUAGUGUUCGUUUAAUUUCUGCUCUACAGAAAAGUGAUCCAGUCUCUCUCUCUCCCCCUCUCCCUCCCUCUCUCUCUCUCUCUCUUCCUCCCCCACUGCCCCAUCUCAUGCACUCACACUUUUUUUUUUAAUGUGAUCUUCCAUCAUGUUGUAACCCAAGAGACUAGACAUAGUCCCCUGUGUUGUACCAUUCUAUUCCAUUGCUUAUUCAUUCUAAUUUUUUCUUUUUUUUGUCUUUCCUAGGGCCACACCCAUGGCAUAUGGAGGUUCCCAGGCUAGGGGUCGAAUCGGAGCUGUAGCCACUGGCCUACGCCAGAGCCACAGCAACGCCGGAUCCAAGCUGUGGAUGCAACCUACACCACAGCUCACGGCAAUGCUGAUCCUAGACCCACUGAGCAAGGCCAGGGAUUGAACCUGCAACCUCAUGGUUCCUAGUCGGAUUCGUUAACCACUGAGCCAUAAUGGGAAUUCCGUAGCUGUGUCUCUUUUAUCUUUGUCUUGUUUUCUAGAGGGCAGAGCCCACAGCUUUUCUUCCCCCCUUCCCUCCCCUGGGUUGAUGGAGGACUACGAGGUUGGGGUGGUGGGAGGCACGCUGACUGAGUCUGAGCCCCUUUCCUAUGUUCAGCUCAGGUUCACUCUGUGGUUCAGCUUCAGUUUCUUCAUCUGUAGAAUGGAUGAGUUGGAUUAUCAUGUCUUUAACUUAUAGGCUUUGCUUGGUUUACAGAAGGAGUAUGAUUGAUUUCCUGAGGUAAUUACUUUCUAGAAGUUUAAAUUGGGAAUGCUUCAUUGUAGAAGGUCUGGGUUCAGUCAGAACUGGGUUUGAAUCCAAGCUUUGCCACAUACGAGUUGUGCCUCCUUUAGAGUUACUUAAUCUCCCUCGGGGUUGUUGUGAGGAUUGAAUAAGAUAAUGUCUGUAACGUGUUGAGCAUCAUGCCAGGUUCAUAGUAGAUGUUCAGUAAACAUUAGCUUCUUUCCUGUCUAGGGUCGUUCCAGCUUUGAUACAGAAUCUGGGUUAGUAGACAUGUUGACUAAUUGAAAUGAUUGGAACCACAUGUUUAGGGAGUUCUGAUGCUAUGUUGGUUGGGGAUGGGGCGGGGGCAGUUGGGUGAGAAAGUCUGGCCCUUUCUUAAGUGCCUUCUAAGGAGCUGCCAACUCAGAUCUGUGUGUGAGCCACUCCCUCCACCCUAUUCUCUGAUGUGGACCCUUGACAUUUUCUUAGUUUUAUGAAAAGCACUGUGAAACAUAGAUUCACUGCCCUCUUUUGACCUGAUUCUGCCCCAAGCCCAGCCCGGGUGCCGCAGGACGCUGAGCUAAGUAGGAUCAGGCCACGAUGAGGAGGAGCUGGGUCAGGUAAGGCCUUGGGCUUCCCGACUUGUCUGGGCCUGUCUGACCAACUCCAGUAGCGCGCGUGAUGCAGCCAGGCGGACAGCACUUGUUGUCCAUGAUCAGUAUUCCUGGGAAGGCAUCCCUCUGCUCCUGGUGCUAGUGGCUUUAGGGUCCUGGGGAGACCUGUCCCCUCAAGUCUUCUGGAAUGGCUGCGUUCCAGCAGGAAUAACACGGAGAGAGUUGGGGAAGGGCAGGUGACAGCGUCUCUCAGCCCGGGCUGGUGGGGGUGACCAUCUUGGGAAUCCCCUGGAGCCUGUGAAAUCUGGCAGCUCUUGGGCUCUCCUGAAAUAUCCCUGACCUGGAGGGAAUGAGGGAGGGGUCUAGGGCCUAGCCAGGGCUGCUGAGUUGAGAAAUGCUCUAAGUAUGAGCUCAGGGUGGCUGAGGCCCUGAGGGAGGCCCUCAAGAAGAGGGUCUGCCCUUGAGGUCAUGCUGGCCAUCCCUCUGACCUCACACACAUCUGGGUGACUUGAGAAUUAGUUUGAUGAUCUUUCAGCUCCAGGGAUUACUGGGGAGCUGGGAGAAACACGCCUGCAAAGGCCUCCUCAGGGGGUUACUUUGCUCUCCCCCCAUCAUUAUUGGGCUUCUCUAAUUGGGGCCAGAACUGGGAAUUUUCCUCUUUAAAAAAAAAAAAAAUUUGAAAACAAGGGCACAAGUGGGUUGUGUCCAAAGUAAUGUGUUUAAGGAAAUUUCUGCUUCAUGCUGGCUAGGACAGGGAAUGUCUGGUCAAAGAGGUGCUGACGGCCAGGGUCUUUUGUAAGUAAACAGACUGCCUCCGAUGGCCGCCCUGAGCUCAUUUCCCUCAGCACUGUGCGAGGAGGAUGAUGUCACCAGAGCAGGGCCUCCUGGUGUUGGAGUUUGUUGGUGAGCAGGAUGGAGGCGCAGUGAUUGCCGGUGGCCUAGGUGCUGCUGCCCAGUUAUUGCAAACAGCUGCUCCCCACACAAGUGGUUCGGACACUCUCCUACACAUACUCAUCCAUGACGGGACUCUAGCCAAACCCAUGACCCUACAGCCAGGAGUAUGCCUGGGGAAACUUGUGAUUAACCGAGAAGUCCCCAGAUUCCAUGGGGCUUCUUCCUCAACCAGAUAGCUGGGCCUCUCUGGUCUAGAGCAGGGUGGGGGGUGCAUCAGGAUGGGUUGAUUUGUAAGGAGUGGCCCCAGGAAGUACAGGCCCACAUCCUGCCACCUGGAGAACGGGCAGUGGCAACGUGCACCACCGCCUGUCUCCUGGGGCCAGACAGCCAGGUCCAUUGGGGGAGUUUCCAUGAGCAGAAAGCCCAGGUCAGGGGAGGUUGGGAGGUGGGGUGGAGAAAAGCCACAAAGCUCCUCUCUGUCUCCUGCACAGGCUCUUCCUAAGCACAACAGUGACCAGGUAAAGCUUUUAUGGGGCUUGGAAGCCCUGCAGCACAGUUGCUGAGGAAUGGCUGCCAGAGAUUGGGUCACACUCUGUAGCCUUCUCCCUGUUCACCCUGUACCACCCUCACUUCACUUGGGGAGCAGUGAACCCCAAGUAGACAGGUGACCAGAUACUUCUUGAAGGUGGGCUUUUUAUUCCUUUGUGUCCCCUACGGUCCUAGCUGGUUUCAUAGGAGAUUGACUUGUCAAUCACACAGACCCACCCCACGGAGCACUCAAAGCCUACCUGAUCUACCUACACCAGGCUCAUUGAAAACCUCAGACUGACCAGCAAGCUCACAGAAGACACACUGCCUACCUGAUGUGCAGCCUGACUGAUUCAACCAGGUAAUUAAGUCUGCUCAUUCAACAAAUAGUAACUGAACACAUUGUGCCCACUGUUAUGCCAGGUGCGGGGGACUUAGGAAUGAACAAGACAGGCAAGAUCCUUGCUCUUAGGGGUAUUUAUAUUAUAAAGGAAGAAAAUGGGAUUUUGUGGGAGAGCAUAUCCAUCAGGCCCUGCCCUGGAUCUAAUGGUCAGGGAAGACCUUCCUGACACAUAAUCUGAAAAUUAGGGUAUGAGAAUGGGAAAAAAGACGUGCAAAGAGCCUGAGGAAGAGCUUUCCCGAUGGAGUGAAAAGCGAUACCGAGGCCUUGAGAUGGGGAAGAGCUUGGCGUUAAUUUGGAAUAACCAGAAGACCAAUAUGACCGGAACAUGUUGAGUGAGCAGAGGGUGGCACGUAGAUGAGGCUGGAGAGGUGGACCAGGCAGACCAGACAGGGGCCUGUAAGCCCUAGUAGGAUUUAGGUAGGUGUUGGGGGAAGACCCUGAGGCUUUAGGCAAGAGUGUGAGACACAUUCAAGAAGAAAUAGAUAACCUAAAUAUCCCUGUACCACUACUAAAGAGGUUAAAUUUAUAGUUUAAAAUUUUCCCACAAAGAAAACUUUGGCCCUAGAUGCCUUUACUGGUGAAUUCUCCCAAGCAUUAAAGAAAGAAAAGUUACCAAUUUAAUAUAAAAUUUUCCAGAAAAUUGAAAAGGAUGGAAUACUUCCUAACUCAUUCUGUGAGGAACGAGUCUCACAGACAAAAACGUUCCAAGACCAGGCGAAGACAUUCCAAGAAAGAAAACUUGGUCCAAAACAGACCAAUAUGCAUCAUGAACAUGAUCCAAAAAUUUUAAUUUUAAUCAAAAUUAUAGCUAAGUAAAUCCAACAGUACAUAAGAGGAUAUUUCAUCAUGACCAAGUGGGGUUUACCCAGAAAUGUCAGGUUGGAGGAAUGUUUGAAAAUCAGCUCAUGUGAUUCUCCAUAUUAACAAACCAAAAAGAGGGGGGAGCCCCACUAUAUGAUCACCUCAGUGACAUCAUAGUUAAUGAUCGAAGGCUGAAUACUUUCCCUCUGCAAUUGAGAAGCAAGAAUGUCUGUUCUUACUACGUCUAUUUAACAUUGUGCCAAAGGUCCUAACCAGUACAAUAUAACAAGAAAAAUAAAAGGCAUAUAGAUUGAAAAGGAAAAAGUAAAAAUGUCUUUAUUUGCAAAUGACAUGAUCAUAUACAUAUACAUAGAAAAUCCUAAUCUACAAGAAAACCUACUAAAAUGAAAAAAUGAGUUUAACAAAGUUGCAAGAUAGAUCAAUAUAUGAAAAUUAAUUGUAUGUGAAUGCUUGAAAUCGGCAUUGUAAAAACAAUACCAGGAAUUCCCAUUGUGGCUCAGCGAUAAUGAACCCGACUGGUAUCCAUGAGGACGUGGGUUUGAUCCCUUGCCUCACUCAGUGGGUUAAGGACCCGGCGUUGCUGUGAGCUGUGGUGUAGGUUGCAGACACAGCUCGGAUCCUGAAUUGCCGUGGCUCUGGUAUAGGUCAGUGGCUACAGCUCCGAUUCAACCCUUAGCCUUGGAACUUCCAUAUGCCUCAG